UGUACGGUAAACUAAAAAGUUUAUUGUUGCGAGAUAUAAAUUAAAAGUAUUUUAAAUAAAAUGUCACGAUAUUAAAAUGUCGCAUCAAUUCCAGGCAAUACUUUUUAAGUAACAAUUAUCCUCAAAAAACUUGAUAAAUUAUAUCGGUCGCGAUGAAUUGAUUGAGUAAAUAGUUUUUAAAUUGAAAUUUCCUUAAAAGGUAAUAAAAAUGAGGACGAUGCUGCAUGCUGUCGCCAUCGUGCUAACUGUGCUGUUGCUUCUUAUCAGACCCCGAUAUACCUUUGCAGCAGUUUGCUAUAAACGUGUAACGACACCCUUCCUGCCAAGUGAUAAAAUCAAAUCCAAUGACUCCACGAGCCUGGCGUGCCAUGCGUACUAUGUCGACCCCAAAUACAAACGAGACCCAGAGAUUGAUCUCGAUGAUGAAGAAAUAGGAAACCAACCUCUUGAAUAAAAUUUACAAUGUUUGUUUACAUUUUUUGGUAAUAAAAAAAUUGCAAAUUGAAA